rnacentral:rRNA from 1 species
UGCAGAAUCCCGUGAACCAUCGAGUCUUUGAAUGCAAGUUGCGCUCGAGGCCAUUAGGUCGAGGGCAUGUCUGUCUGGGUGUCA